rnacentral:rRNA from 1 species
AUUGAACGCUGGCGGCAGGCUUAACACAUGCAAGUCGAGCGGGGAGAUGUAGCUUGCUACAUUUCCUAGCGGCGGACGGGUGAGUAAUGCUUAGGAAUCUGCCUAUUAGUGGGGGACAACAUUCCGAAAGGAAUGCUAAUACCGCAUACGCCCUACGGGGGAAAGCAGGGGAUCUUCGGACCUUGCGCUAAUAGAUGAGCCUAAGUCAGAUUAGCUAGUUGGUGGGGUAAAGGCCUACCAAGGCGACGAUCUGUAGCGGGUCUGAGAGGAUGAUCCGCCACACUGGGACUGAGACACGGCCCAGACUCCUACGGGAGGCAGCAGUGGGGAAUAUUGGACAAUGGGCGCAAGCCUGAUCCAGCCAUGCCGCGUGUGUGAAGAAGGCCUUUUGGUUGUAAAGCACUUUAAGCGAGGAGGAGGCUACUUGGAUUAAUACUCUAGGAUAGUGGACGUUACUCGCAGAAUAAGCACCGGCUAACUCUGUGCCAGCAGCCGCGGUAAUACAGAGGGUGCGAGCGUUAAUCGGAUUUACUGGGCGUAAAGCGUGCGUAGGCGGCUUUUUAAGUCGGAUGUGAAAUCCCUGAGCUUAACUUAGGAAUUGCAUUCGAUACUGGGAAGCUAGAGUAUGGGAGAGGAUGGUAGAAUUCCAGGUGUAGCGGUGAAAUGCGUAGAGAUCUGGAGGAAUACCGAUGGCGAAGGCAGCCAUCUGGCCUAAUACUGACGCUGAGGUACGAAAGCAUGGGGAGCAAACA